rnacentral:rRNA from 1 species
CCUACGGGUGGCAGCAGUGAGGAAUAUUGGUCAAUGGGCGCGAGCCUGAACCAGCCAAGUCGCGUGAAGGAUGACUGCCCUACGGGUUGUAAACUUCUUUUGUAAAGGAAUAAAGUGAGGCACGUGUGCCUUUUUGAAAGUACCUGAUGAAUAAGGAUCGGCUAACUCCGUGCCAGCAGCCGCGGUAAUACGGAGGAUGCGAGCGUUAUCCGGAUUUAUUGGGUUUAAAGGGAGCGUAGGUGGGUUGUUAAGUCAGUUGUGAAAGUUUGGGGCUCAACCGUAAAAUUGCAAUUGAUACUGGAUGUCUUGAGUACAGGAGAGGUAGGCGGAAUUCGUGGUGUAGCGGUGAAAUGCUUAGAUAUCACGAAGAACUCCGAUUGCGAAGGCAGCUUACUAACCCGCCACUGACGCUGAUGCUCGAAAGUGUGGGUAUCAAACAGGAUUAGAUACCCGAGUAGUC